rnacentral:rRNA from 1 species
AGGACGAACGCUGGCGGCGUGCUUAACACAUGCAAGUCGAACGGUGAAGGGGUCUUCGGACCCCCGGAUCAGUGGCGAACGGGUGAGUAACACGUGGGCAACCUGCCCCUAGCUCCGGAAUAACCCCGGGAAACCGAGGCUAAUACCGGAUACGACCCUGCGCGGCAUCUCGCGGGGUGGAAAGAUUUACGGCUAGGGAUGGGCCCGCGGCCUAUCAGCUUGUUGGUGGGGUAAUGGCCUACCAAGGCGACAACGGGUAG